GAGCGCCGCUCAGUUGGUAGAGCGAUUUACUAUAGAGUUGUAGGCUAUGUAUCAGUGUGCUUGGAAAUCGAGUGGUCGUUGGUUCGACUCCGGCCACUCA
rnacentral:tRNA from 1 species